GAUGAAGAACGCAGUGAAAUGCGAUAAGUAAUGUGAAUUGCAGAACUCAGUGAAUCAUCGAAUCUUUGAACGCACAUUGCGCCCCCUGGUAUUCCGGGGGGCAUGCCUGUCCGAGCGUCAUUGCUGCCCUCAAGCACGGCUUGUGUGUUGGGCCCCGUCCUCCGAUUCCGGGGGACGGGCCCGAAAGGCAGCGGCGGCACCGCGUCCGGUCCUCGAGCGUAUGGGGCUUUGUCACCCGCUCUGUAGGCCCGGCCGGCGCUUGCCGAUCAACCCAAAUUUUUAUCCAGGUUGACCUCGGAUCAGGUAGGGAUACCCGCUGAACUUAAGCAUAUCAAUAAGCGGAGGA
rnacentral:misc_RNA from 1 species